rnacentral:rRNA from 1 species
UACGUAGGGGGCAAGCAGUUGUCCGGAAUCGAUUGGCGUAAAGGCGCGUGUAGGCGGCUCGGGUAAAGUCUGCUCUGAAAAGCCCGGGGCUCAACCCUGGGAGGCGGGUGGAUACUGCUGAGCUCGAAGUCCGGAAGAGGCGAGUGGAAUUCCUGGUGUAGCGGUGAAAUGCGCAGGAUAAUCAGGAGGAACACCAUGGCGAAGGCAGCUCGCUGGGACGGUACUGACGCUGAGACGCGAAAGCGUGGGGAGCAAACAGG